CACAGAUAAUCGGGAUUAAUCGCACCUUUUUUAUCUCAAGAUGUGUUGUAUAUCAGACUCCUACCCAGUGUCUCCCUGUGUUCCCAGCCCUUUUGUCUCCUGUGUGUGUGGAGGUACAGUUGGGCGUAACUUCCUUCCUCCUCCUCCUCUCGGACGUUGCGGCUGGCACACCUGAUGAGGAUCUUCCAAUCAUGUUCAACCUCUGCAGUAUAUCAACCCUGGGAUUCCUUCCACAAUCUGCCAGAUCGUUCAGUCACCUUCUGUGAUCCACCACAUCUGCUUGCAGCCUUCGCUCUGCCUGCCUGUCUGCCUGCCUGCCUGCCUGCCUGCCACUCUCCAGCUACUCCUUCUUAGUAGCUUUAUUGAGCUCACAAAUCAUCCCUGUGCUUAACUCUGGAGGAGAGUGGGAAUUCGCUCCUUGUGCCCUGCCUGUCCACACUAGGAUCAACUCUCCAGGACUGGACACCCCGAGCUCCUUCGACCAGCCCCCUACCCACUCCUCAUUUUUGUUAUUUAAUAAAUUUACCUUAACUUGA